rnacentral:rRNA from 1 species
GAUGAACGCUGGCGGCGUGCCUAACACAUGCAAGUCGAGCGAACAGAUGAGGAGCUUGCUCCUCUGACGUUAGCGGCGGACGGGUGAGUAACACGUGGAUAACCUACCUAUAAGACUGGGAUAACUUCGGGAAACCGGAGCUAAUACCGGAUAAUAUAUUGAACCGCAUGGUUCAAUAGUGAAUGACGGUUUUGCUGUCACCGAUAGAUUGAUCCGCGCCGCAUUAGCUAGUUGGUAAGGUAACGGCUUACCAAGGCGACGAUGCGUAGCCGACCUGAGAGGGUGAUCGGCCACACUGGAACUGAGACACGGUCCAGACUCCUACGGGAGGCAGCAGUAGGGAAUCUUCCGCAAUGGGCGAGAGCCUGACAGAGCAACGCCGCGUGAGUGCUGAAGGUCUUCGGAUCGUAAAGCUCUGUUGUUAGGGAAGAACAAAAGUGUAAGUAACUAUGAACGUAUUGACGGUACCUAAUCAGAAAGCCACGGCUAACUACGUG